GUGAUUCAAGCAAAUGAGCAUCAAUUACCCCUGUAUGGAGCAAAGAGGAAAUCAAUAUGCCUACAUAAAAGUGAUCCCACAGCCUUAUCUUGAGGUUUUUUAGUAUCUCCUGUUGGCAAGCAAACUGUAAAGAAUGUGCCAGAAGCUAGAAAUGCAGUUUCCAUCCAUUGACUUGAUUUGGUAUAUCGAGAGGAAGCCAAGUAUGUGUAUCAAUGAGGUCUGAAUUUUUCUACUGUAGCAGGAAAGCAAAAGUCUUUUCUUUAAAAAUGUUGCAGUUACACACGGGUUGAGCAGCUUGUUUUUUUAGAAAUG
rnacentral:lncRNA from 1 species